rnacentral:rRNA from 1 species
GACGAACGCUGGCGGCGUGCUUAACACAUGCAAGUCGAACGGAAAGGCCCUGCUUUUGUGGGGUGCUCGAGUGGCGAACGGGUGAGUAACACGUGAGUAACCUGCCCUUGACUUUGGGAUAACUUCAGGAAACUGGGGCUAAUACCGGAUAGGAGCUCCUGCUGCAUGGUGGGGGUUGGAAAGUUUCGGCGGUUGGGGAUGGACUCGCGGCUUAUCAGCUUGUUGGUGGGGUAGUGGCUUACCAAGGCUUUGACGGGUAGCCGGCCUGAGAGGGUGACCGGCCACAUUGGGACUGAGAUACAGCCCAGACUCCUACGGGAGGCAGCAGUGGGGAAUAUUGCACAAUGGGCGGAAGCCUGAUGCAGCAACGCCGCGUGCGGGAUGACGGCCUUCGGGUUGUAAACCGCUUUCGCCUGUGACGAAGCGUGAGUGACGGUAAUGGGUAAAGGAGCACCGGCUAACUACGUG